AGCUCACGGAUCUUGUUGUUGUUGAGCUGCAAGAUGAAGAGGUUGACCAGCGGGGAGAGCAAACCCCGGGGCAGCUCAGUGACCUUGUUGUGGUCCAGGUAGAGGUUGCUUAUGGAACCACAGAGAACAGUCCCGUGACAUUCGCGCACUUCCCUGAGGACACUGUGGAGCAGAAGGCAGAAAGCGUGGGCAGAAUUAUGCCUCACACGGAGGUGAGCCCCUGACCAAGACUCCAAAGUCCCACCUCCCGUCACCCAACUGGGGUGCACCCAGCUGGGACAUCUGUUGCUUUCAGUGAGAGAGUCAAAUGGCUCACUCAGGAUGCCUAGAGCCCCCCAGCAGCAGGGGCGUGCUAGGCCUGGCCCGGAGUGUUCUCUGUGGGCUAAGCAUGGAAGGGGAAGAGCUGGAACAGUGGCUGUGAGCGGCUGCCAGCUGAACUUCUCCGCGGCCUCCCUUCCUGUCUGAGGUGUGUUUUUGCCAAGCCCACUGUCUGUUUCAGGGCAGCCAGGGUAGCCUCAAAGAGGAGCCAGAGCACAGAGAGUUUUCCUACACAGCUUCUUUUCCUCCAGUGGUGCUCGCCUCUCGCUUUAGCAGAGUUCUUCUCCUUGCUUGGCGUAAACACUUCAUUUCCCAAGCAGCCUAUCCCUUUGGGGCGGUCCCUUUGCCCCUCAAAGGUUGCCCCAGAGUGCACCUGAAUCUCAAAUGCCCAGCCAUGCCUCCUUUCCUGCUCCAACACUGGGGCUGUGCCAGCUGGCUCCUGAUUUCCCCUGCACCCUUCUGCUCCCGCCCCUGGGGGAUCGCUUCCCCCGUGCACAAGCAGCUGCUUCCCCUGGGGCUG
rnacentral:sRNA from 1 species